rnacentral:misc_RNA from 1 species
GAUGAAGAACGCAGCGAAAUGCGAUACGUAAUGUGAAUUGCAGAAUUCAGUGAAUCAUCGAAUCUUUGAACGCAUAUUGCGCUCUUUGGUAUUCCGAAGAGCAUGCUUGUUUGAGUAUCAGUAAACACCUCAAAGCUUUUGGAUUUUUUAAUCGAAAAGCUUUGGACUUGAGCAAUCCCAACACCAAUCUUUUUGAGAUCGGUGGCGGGUUGCUUGAAAUGCAGGUGCAGCUGGACAUUCUCCUGAGCUAAAAGCAUAUUCAUUUAGUCCCGUCAAACGGAUUAUUACUUUUGCUGAAGCUAACAUAAAGGGAGUUUGACCGUAUUGGCUGACUGAUGCAGGAUUUCACAAGGGUCGGCAACGAUUCUUGUUAAACUCGAUCUCAAAUCAAGUAAGACUACCCGCUGAACUUAAGCAUAUCAAUAAGCGGAGGA